GAGGUCCCGCCUGCCCAGUGACCAAAAGUUUAACGGCCGCGGUAUUUUAACCGUGCAAAGGUAGCGCAAUCAAUUGUCUUUUAAAUGAAGACCUGUAUGAAUGGCAUAACGAGGGUUUAACUGUCUCUUUCUCCUGGUCAGUGAAACUGAUCUACCCGUGCAGAAGCGGGUAUGAAUAUACAAGACGAGAAGACCCUAUGGAGCUUUAGACGCCCACCAAUCACGAAAAGCAGGUCUCGCUCAACGGACCCCCAAACAACGUGGUACUGGCACAAACGUCUUCGGUUGGGGCGACCGCGGGAGAGAAAAAAGCUCCCGAGAGGAUUGGGGCUACCCUAAAACCAAGAGCUACACCUCUAAGUCACAAAACAUUUGACCAAAAAUGAUCCGGCUACAUGCCGAUUAACGAACCAAGUUACCCUAGGGAUAACAGCGCAAUCCCUUCCCAGAGUCCAUAUCGACGAAGGGGUUUACGACCUCGAUGUUGGAUCAGGACAUCCUAAUGGUGCAGCCGCUAUUAAGGGUUCGUUUGUUCAACGAUUAAAGUCCUACGUGA
rnacentral:rRNA from 1 species